rnacentral:lncRNA from 1 species
GAUUUCAACCUCGAUCGAAUGACGGCGGGUUACUAUUUUGAUAUGUUCGAAAUAACACCCUUUAAGACCAAGGUCCUUCGCCAAAAAGAGAAGAGUUUGACCUCGAUCGAACGACGACUGGUUACUAUUUUGAUAAGUUCGAAAUAACACCAUUUAAGGCCAAGGGCCUUCGCCAAAAGGAUAGGAUUUCAACCUUGAUCGAAUGACGACGGGUUACUAAUUUGACAAGUUUGAAAUAACACCCUUUAAGGCUAAUGGCCUUCGCCAAAAAGAUAAGAGUUCGACGUCGAUCGAAUGAUGACGACUUACUAUUUCAAUAAGUUCGAAAUAACACCCUUUAAGGCCAAGGGCCUUCACCAAAAAGAGAAGAGUUCGACCUCGAUCGAACGACAACGAUUUACUAUUUCGAUAAGUUCGAAAUAACAACCUUUCAGGCAUAGUGCCUUCACCAUAAACAGAAGAGUUCGACCUCGAUCGAAUGACGACAUGUUACUAAUUUGACAAGUUUGAAAUAACACCCUUUAAGGCUAAGGGCCUUCGCCAAAAAGAUAAGAGUUCGACGUCGAUCGAACGAUGAUGGGUUUCUUUUUUGAUAAGUUUGAAAUAACACCCUUUUAGGCCAAGGGCCUUUGCCAGUUAGAUAAAAGUUCGGCCUCGAUAGAACGACAACGGGUUACUAUUUCCAUAACAACGAAAUAACACCUUUUAAGGCCUAGGGCCUUCUCCAAAAGGAGAGGAGUUUGACCUCAAUCGAACGAAGACGGGUUACAAUUUCAAUAAGUUCCCAAUAACACCCUUUAAGGCCAAGGGCCUUCGCCAAAAAGUGAAGACUUUGACCUCGAUUGAACGAUGAUGGGUUACUAUUUUGAUAAGUUCGAAAUAACACCCUUUAAGGCCAAGGGCCUUCGCCAAAAAAAGAUAAGUUCGACCUCGAUCGAACGAUGACGGGUUACUAUUUUAAUAAGAUCAAAAUAACACCGUUUAAGGCCAAGGGACUUCACCAAAAAAAGAAUACUUCAACCUCGAUUGAACGAGAACGGGUUAAUAUUUUUAUAAGUUCGAAAUAACACCCUUUAAGGCUAAGGGCAUUCGCCAUAAAGAGAAUAGUUCGACCUCGAUCGAAUGACGACGGGUUACUAACUUGACAAGUUUGAAAUAACACCCUUUAAGGCUAAGGGCCUUCGCCAAAAAGAUAAGAGUUCGACGUCGAUCGAACGAUGACGGGUAACUAUUUCGAUAAGUUCGAAAUAACACCCUUUAAGGCCAAGGGCCUUUGCCAUAAAGAGAAGUGUUCGGCCUCGAUAGAACGACGACGGGUUACUUUUUCCAUAACAUCGAAAUAACACCUUUUAAGGCCUAGGGCCUUAGCCAAAAGGAGAAGAGUUUGACCUCGAUCGAACGAAGACGGGUUACUAUUUCGAUAAGUUCCCAAUAACACCCUUUAAGGCCAAGGGCCUUCGCCAAAAAGUGAAGAGUUUGACCUCGAUUGAACGAUGAUGGGUUACUAUUUCGAUAAGUUCGAAAUAACACUUUUUAAGGUAAAAGGCCUUCGCCAAUAGGAGAGGAUUUCGACCUCGAUCG